rnacentral:rRNA from 1 species
UACGGAGGGUGCAAGCGUUAAUCGGAAUUACUGGGCGUAAAGCGUGCGCAGGCGGUUUUGUAAGUCUGACGUGAAAUCCCCGGGCUCAACCUGGGAAUUGCGAUGGAGACUGCAAGGCUAGAAUCUGGCAGAGGGGGGUAGAAUUCCACGUGUAGCAGUGAAAUGCGUAGAGAUGUGGAGGAACACCGAUGGCGAAGGCAGC